UUCUUUAUCACCGAGUGCUUGCACUCACCGAUAAAGAGCUGAUUGGCGAACGGGUGAGUAACACGUGGGCAACCUGCCCAAAAGAGGGGGAUAACACUUGGAAACAGGUGCUAAUACCGCAUAACCAUAGUUACCGCAUGGUAACUAUGUAAAAGGUGGCUAUGCUACCGCUUUUGGAUGGGCCCGCGGCGCAUUAGCUAGUUGGUGGGGUAAAGGCUUACCAAGGCAAUGAUGCGUAGCCGAACUGAGAGGUUGAUCGGCCACAUUGGGACUGAGACACGGCCCAAACUCCUACGGGAGGCAGCAGUAGGGAAUCUUCCACAAUGGGCGAAAGCCUGAUGGAGCAACGCCGCGUGGGUGAAGAAGGUCUUCGGAUCGUAAAACCCUGUUGUUAGAGAAGAAAGUGCGUGAGAGUAACUGUUCACGUUUCGACGGUAUCUAACCAGAAAGCCACGGCUAACUACGUGCCAGCAGCCGCGGUAACACGUAGGUGGCAAGCGUUAUCCGGAUUUAUUGGGCGUAAAGGGAACGCAGGCGGUCUUUUAAGUCUGAUGUGAAAGCCUUCGGCUUAACCGGAGUAGUGCAUUGGAAACUGGGAGACUUGAGUGCAGAAGAGGAGAGUGGAACUCCAUGUGUAGCGGUGAAAUGCGUAGAUAUAUGGAAGAACACCAGUGGCGAAAGCGGCUCUCUGGUCUGUAACUGACGCUGAGGUUCGAAAGCGUGGGUAGCAAACAG
rnacentral:rRNA from 1 species